UACGAAGGGGGCUAGCGUUGCUCGGAAUUACUGGGCGUAAAGCGCACGUAGGCGGCUUCUUAAGUCAGGGGUGAAAUCCUGGAGCUCAACUCCAGAACUGCCUUUGAUACUGGCGAUCUCGAGUCCGGGAGAGGUGAGUGGAACUGCGAGUGUAGAGGUGAAAUUCGUAGAUAUUCGCAAGAACACCAGUGGCGAAGGCGGCUCACUGGCCCGGUACUGACGCUGAGGUGCGAAAGCGUGGGGAGCAAACAGG
rnacentral:rRNA from 1 species